GAGUUUGAUUCUGGCUCAGGAUGAACGCUAGCUACAGGCUUAACACAUGCAGGUCAGGGGCAGCAUGUUGGUUGCUUGCAACCGAUGAUGGCGACCGGCGCACGGGUGAGUAACGCGUAUCCAACCUUCCCCGUUAGUAGGGCAUAGCCCGUAGAAAUGCGGAUUAAUACCCUAUGUUCUUCGAAGCGGUCAUCCAAUUUGAAGCAAAGAUUCAUCGCUAAGGGGAUGGGGAUGCGUCCGAUUAGGUUGUUGGCGGGGUAACGGCCCACCAAGCCAUCGAUCGGUAGGGGUUCUGAGAGGAAGGUCCCCCACAUUGGAACUGAGACACGGUCCAAACUCCUACGGGAGGCAGCAGUGAGGAAUAUUGGUCAAUGGGACGAGAGUCUGAACCAGCCAAGUAGCGUGCAGGAUGACGGCCCUAUGGGUUGUAAACUGCUUUUAUCAGGGGAUAAAGUGGCCCACGUGUGGGUUUUUGUAGGUACCUGAUGAAUAAGGACCGGCUAAUUCCGUGCCAGCAGCCGC
rnacentral:rRNA from 1 species